GGUCCCAUAGUGUAACGGUUAUCAUGUUUGCCUUAUACACAGAAGGUCCUGGGUUUGAUCCCCAGAGGAACCA